rnacentral:tRNA from 2 species
GGUGCGCAGGCAACGGCUACUUCCGCUCUCAACGGGGAGACGUGGGUUCGAAUCCCACCGCCA